rnacentral:SRP_RNA from 1 species
GGUCGGGUCCCAUGCAAGUGCCCGGUGCGAAUCUGGUCAGGCGGGGAACCGAGCAGCCAUAAGCAUUCGCGGUGCUGUGCGUGGCAAACCCGACCACC